AUGGAUCUUAGGGCCGUGAAGUUUGCUAAUAAAUUGUUUAGUAUUCAACAGAAUGCAUUUAUUAAGGGGAGACAUAUUGUGGACGGGAUACUAUCCUUGCAUGAGGUGAUGCAUUAUACUCAUGUGAAAAAAGAAGUGGGAGUGAUCUUUAAGAUCGAUUUUGAGAAAGCCUAUGACAAAGUGAAUUGGGAAUUCCUACUUGAUUGUCAUGUUAAACGUGGCUUUAACGCAAAGUGGUGUGGAUGGGUGUCGCAAAUCCUAAGGAAUGGCACGGUAAGUGUCAAGAUUAAUGACGAGACAGGUCCUUAUAUUCAGAGUGCUAAAGGGGUGCGACAAGGCGACCCACACUCUCUGUUCCUGUUCAAUCUUGCAGCAGGUUGCUUGACUAAAAUGGUUAUUGCAGCCCAGAAAAAUAAUCUCAUCAAAGGGCUGGCUUCUGGACUGAUCGAGGAAGGGGUGGGCAUCCUACAAUACGCUGACGAUACUGUCUUGUGUUUUGAACAU
rnacentral:rRNA from 1 species